CUUAGGCCCGCAUUGUAAUUUGCAGAGGAUGUUUCUGGCGAGGUGCCUUCCGAGUUCCCUGGAACGGGACGCCAUAGAGGGUGAGAGCCCCGUAUGGAUGGACACCAAACCUAUGUGAAACUCCUUCAACGAGUCGAGUAGUUUGGGAAUGCUGCUCUAAAUGGGAGGUAAAUCUCUUCUAAAGCUAAAUACCGGCCAGAGACCGAUAGCGCACAAGUAGAGUGAUCGAAAGAUGAAAAGCACCUUGAAAAGGGGGUUAAACAGUACGUGAAAUUGUUGAAAGGGAAGCGCUUGUGACCAGACUUGCGCCGGGCAGCUCAUCAGGGGUUCUCCCCUGUGCACUCUGCCCGGCUCAGGCCAGCAUCGGUUCUCGUGGGAGGAUAAGAACGGCAGGAACGUGGCCCCCCUCCGGGGGGGUGUUAUAGCCUGCCGUACGAUACUCCCGUGGGGACCGAGGUUCGCGCUCCGCAAGGAUGCUGGC
rnacentral:rRNA from 1 species